rnacentral:rRNA from 1 species
UACGGGGGGGGCAAGCGUUGUUCGGAAUUACUGGGCGUAAAGGGCUCGUAGGUGGCCAACUAAGUCAGACGUGAAAUCCCUCGGCUUAACCGGGGAACUGCGUCUGAUACUGGAUGGCUUGAGUUUGGGAGAGGGACGCGGAAUUCCAGGUGUAGCGGUGAAAUGCGUAGAUAUCUGGAGGAACACCGGUGGCGAAGGCGGCAUCCUGGACCAACACUGACGCUGAGGAGCGAAAGCUAGGGGAGCAAACGGG